AUAGAACACUGGCUUAAAAAUAGAGUGCAGAGAGUAGUUGUAAAUAGAAAAUUUUCAAAUUGGACAAAAGUGGUAAGUGGAGUGCCUCAUGGUUCUGUCCUGUGUCAUUUGUUGGUGUUUGCAUAUAACACAAAACUAGGUAAGAUAAUACAGUCUGAAUAUGAUACAGACUAGAGAGGAAUUUGGAUACAUUGGGGAACUGGGCAGGCAAGUGGCAGAUAAGAUUCAAUACAGAUAAAUGUAAACCCAUGCAUUUUGGAAUAAGGAACCCACAAGCCACUUAUACAUUAAAGGGGGUUGAGUAAGGGACAACAAUAAAUGAAAAGAACUUGGGAACAAUUAUAGAUCACAUACGAGGCAACAAUAUGCCACUCCGAUCUUAGAAUGCAAAACCUACUAAGGUGCUUUUGUGCAUAAAAAGGGGAAUUGAUUCAUGUAAUCAAAAUAUCAUUUUGCCUCUUUAUAAAUCAAUGGUAAGAACUCACCUUGAAUAUGCAGUUCAAAUGUGUGAACCCGUUUUAAAGUAGGAUAUUGCAGAAUUAGGAAAAGUGCUGAGGUGUGGUACAAAAUUAAUAAUGGGGUGGAAAACAUUAGUUAUGAGGAAAGGCUAGAAAAACUGGAAUUGUUUUCUUUAAAAAAAAAAAAGUCUCA